GGGGAAUUUUCCGCAAUGGGCGCAAGCCUGACGACGCAACGCCGCGUGGAGGACGAAGAUCUUCGGGUCGUAAACUCCUGUCGAGCGGGACGAACACCUUCGGGGCCAAUAUCCUCGAGGGUUGACGGUACCGCUAAAGGAAGCCCCGGCUAACUCCGUGCCAGCAGCCGCGGUAAUACGGGGGGGGCGAGCGUUGUUCGGAAUUACUGGGCGUAAAGGGCGCGUAGGCGGCAUGGCAAGUCAGAUGUGAAAGCCCCGGGCUUAACUCGGGAAUUGCAUCUGAAACUGCUGUUGCUUGAGUCCUGGAGGGGGUAGUGGAAUUCCCAGUGUAGCGGUGAAAUGCGUAGAUAUUGGGAGGAACACCGGCGGCGAAGGCGGCUACCUGGACAGUGACUGACGCUGAGGCGCGAAAGCCAGGGGAGCAAAGGGACUAGAUACCCCUGUAGUC
rnacentral:rRNA from 1 species